UACAGAGGUCCCAAGCGUUGUUCGGAUUCAUUGGGCGUAAAGGGUGUGUAGGUGGCGCGCUAAGUCGGGUGUGAAAUUUCGGAGCUUAACUCCGGAAACUGCAUUCGAUACUGGCGUGCUUGAGGACUGGAGAGGAGACUGGAAUUUACGGUGUAGCAGUGAAAUGCGUAGAUAUCGUAAGGAAGACCAGUGGCGAAGGCGGGUCUCUGGACAGUUCCUGACACUGGAGACACGAAGGCCAGGGGAGCAAACGGG
rnacentral:rRNA from 1 species